UAUUUAUUACAUUGACACGAGUACUGACUGACACAAGCACAAGCACAAACCCAAGCACAAGACUAUUGGCUGCACAACUGACAACAGAGCACAAGCAUAAGGAACACUGACUAAUGACUGCACAAUACAAAAAAAGACCCCGACUGAACAAGCUCAGGCCGUUAAAUACUAAGAUCACUGAACUGUGAUCUACCAGUGCCCUAGGUCGUGGUCGAAAAAUGUUAUACAAAACAUCAGGUGUCAAGCGUUACCGCUACCUGAAUGUUUUGUAUAACACACCGCGUGUGCUAGACUAGUUACCGUUGUCGUGAGCUUGACAUUGUUCAUGACAAACAAUAACUGUAGUCUAUUGGUACGUUCGUUUGAUGGCUAGUUCCGCACUGAGUGCCGCACUCAGAGCUGUCAAAGUGUUUGUUUGAAGAAACUAGCGCUGGUGCCGCACGAGUUUUGCCUCCAUCUUGGAACUGAAAGUGCGAGUGCCGCACUCGAUUUUUUUCUAGUUUCGUGCGAGUUUCUCGCACACCAACAAACGAUGUUUGUAAACAUCGAAAUCAGCUGUUCGUUGUUUUCGAUUUGUUCGCGUGUGAAUGGUGGAAAAUUGGACAAAUUGGAUUGCGGUUAUCAAAAUUCGGGUAAGUAUCUUUUUAAUUAUCAUGGUUCCGGUUUUAUUGACCACGGAAUCGGUUCCAGAAGGCUUCCCGAGCAAGAGGGAGUAUGCUUCUUGGACUUCCGGAUGGUUUUGCCGGUUCUAUGAACAUCCGGAAGGAGUUCCCUGCGCAAGAGGGAUGAUGAUUUUUGGCCUCCCGGAUGGGGUUUGUCGAUUCCGUGGCCAUUCUGAAGGUUUCCCUGCGUAAGAGUAACGAUGCUUCAUGACCUUCCGGAAGGGUUUUCCCGGUUCUGUGACCAUCCGGAAGGAAUUCCCUGCGUAAGAGGGAUGAUGUUUCUUGGCCUUCCGGAUGAUUUUUGCUGAGUCUGUCACCAUCCGGAAGGAGUUCUUUGCGUAAAAGGGAGAAAGUGGCCAUUAAGAGAUUGGGUUGAUUUUCCGGAUGUUUGUUUUUUUGCAGGAAAAAGCUGUUAUGUAAAAUAUAAUAUAUUAUUAAAAUAUUUUCCUGCUUUUUCUUCAUGCACAUCACCGUUUUACGGCACCUGUUGUGAUUUAGAUGCUUUGAUGUCUCCCGAUAACGACCAAGCAAGCAGCGGCGGACAUUCCGACGGCGAUGGACGCUACUAAACCCGUGGUGGAGAUCGUUACCACAAUAAUCGGAGCGGUGGGAGCGGCGUGGCGGAGUAAAUAAUCUCAAGGUUAACAACAGCCGAUGCGGUGGCUACAUAAAUCGCGGCGGAAGGGGCCGGUGUGGAAACCCGCAUCAGCAGCAACACCUUCAGCAGUAGCUGACUUCCCAGGGUAAACUCUGACACCACACGAGUUCCCAGAAAAUGAUAGUAGUGGCGUUUCCGUCGAUUAAUGCGGGAGCAAAGGUCGCGCCUUCAUCAAACGUCUGCUCCAGGUGGAGCAAAGGCGCGCAUCUGCAGAGUCCUUAUCCUCAUCAGCUAGGUCGACGAAGCCGCGGAAGAGAACUUUGCGCAUGCCUUCAUCAACAACGCGCGGAUGGGCGACUACGUAUCGAGCGGAUCGCGCGAGCUGCUGGAGCACACUCUCAUCAUAGAUCACUGCACCGGAGACAAGUGGUACAUGUUUAGAUUCUUCGAAAAAAACGCAAACGUCUGCUCGAGGCCAAGGACCAGAUGGCCAAGAAGGAGGCUGCCGCCCGUGGUCAGGAUGACGUUUACGACGGAAUCCCUGGACGACGAAGGGUUUGAUUUGUACCUGAAUCGGAGGUAUGAAUGAUCGCGAUAUCCUCCGCAACUUGCAGCGCAAGCUCAAAUCGGUUAUUCAACCGUCGCAAGCAGUACCCUUUGAAACUGGUGCUGACCCCGAUUCGUGAGUUGGACAAGCAAAUCUUUAAAUAUUCAAAGAAACGUCUUGUAUGCACGAAACGGUGGACCUGUACAACAUUCGCUUCCCCGUGCUGGAAGAGGCCGACCGUAGCUGGACUUGGGAUGCGAGUGCCACCAGAAGAGUCGAAUCGAGUGCUAAUAAUAAAAUUGUGAAAUAAUUUGCUUUAAAAUAUAUACUUCUGCGUAAAAUGACCUGUUUUAAUUUAUUCUUAACAAAAUUAAAUUUCACUGUUGAACAGCAUUUUUCAUUGUAAAAUUUACAGGAGAAACUCGUUAUUAAAGCACUGUUGAACGGCGUUUUAUAUCGAGAAAUUCAACAUUAAAAUAACAGCGAAGUCCACUGUUUCCCAUAUAAAAAAAAACUUCGUUGUGAAUACGCUUAACCAACCCGCUGCGAUUGCCAUGCGGCGCGCCAGGUUCCAGAUCAAUUGAUAAUCACGGACAUUCGCGGCGAUUAACAACGAAUCAGUGAAUCAAUAAGAUUAGAAAAACAGUUCGUGUAUUUUCUGAACUAUAUGGUGUAAUGUUAGAGAUCAUUAAAAAAAUUAAGAAAAUAAACAAAUCGACUGAAUACUUAAAAUAUUUUGCUAUAAGAUAGUCGACUUUCCCGCCGUGGACAUAGUCGGGUUGGACCAGCCAAACGUGGUCCCGGGACAAAGCAGUAGGAUAAACGGAAUGAACUUGUCUUAUCUCAAUUGAGCGAAGUGUUCCGUCCAGUACGUUUUCCAUAGUACCUGAUGAUAAUAUGUACCAUGCGUCGCUACAAAUAAAUCUAUAAUUUUAAAAUUCAGGCAAAAAUGCCAAGCAUUGCAGGAACUACAAUAUAUAAAAAAAAUUAAGGAAAUCCAAAUAAUUACAAAUUCCAAAAACUCAACAAAAAACUAAUUUACUCAAUAACAAGAUCCAAAAUCCUAUACAUCCUAAAACUUUUAAAAUAAAAAAAAGAUAACUGUUUGUAACUCUGAAAUUUCGUAUUGUUCUAAAAUUCCUAAUAUUCAUAAAAUUUAUGAAAUUUCUAAAACCAUUAACAUUUCUGUAAUUCUAAAGAUAUCAAGAAAUUUUUCAAAAUAAUUCGAUGCCAGCAUUUCAAAAAGCAUCAUGUACACACCAUCCUUUUUGAGAAAAACGCAUUUGAAUGUUGAGCAUCCAUUUUCAAUUCCCAUUUUAAUAUAAAAGCAAAAUACGAUGUUCUAAUGAUAACAAACGAUGAAAAAGGUGGUUUUAUUGAUACUUGAUCAUCCAAAUUCAAUAAAACAUUAUUUCCGUAAUUUUAUUUGAGAAAAACA